rnacentral:rRNA from 1 species
AGCGAACGUUAGCGGCACGCCUAACACAUGCAAGUCGCACGAGAGGGGGGCAACCCCUGAAAGUGGCGCACGGGUGCGUAACACGUAGAUAACCUGCCCUGAAGAGGGGGAUAACGUUCCGAAAGGCGCGCUAAUACCGCAUAACGCGGCGACUGGUUUGCCAGUUGCGGACACAGGUACGGACCGGCAACGGCCUAUCACUUCAGGAUGAGUGUGCGGCCCAUCAGCUAGUUGGUGAGGUAAUGGCUCACCAAGGCAGAGACGGGUAGCGGGUCUGAGAGGAUGAUCAGCCACACUGGUACUGGAACACGGACCAGACUCCUACGGGAGGCAGCAGUGGGGAAUCUUGGUCAAUGGGCGCAAGCCUGAACCAGCGAUGCCGCGUGAGUGAUGAAGGCCUUCGGGUUGUAAAGCUCUGUGGGGAGGGGAGAAAAAGCACGUUCUAACAGGACGCGUGUUGACGGUACCUCCUUAGCAAGCACCGGCUAACUCUGUGCCAGCCGCCGCAGUAAAAC